rnacentral:lncRNA from 1 species
CUACCUUUGUGUUAUUAUGCUGAUACAAUAUGCACCAUACGGGUGGGACUAGACCCGGAUGGGCGCGGCGGAGGCGGCAUCGCGGGUGGAAGGCUCUGCGGCAGCGGCAGCGGCGGCGGCGGCGGCAACGGAGUGGGAGGCAGAGGAGGAGGAGGCGGAGGAGAGGUGGUUCUUGUUGUUGUGCAUCCAGACCUUGAGGACGUGGCGCUUGACGCCGAUCUGAAGGCAGAACUCGUCCAGCGCGACGUCGUCCUGCUU